AGUGAACGCUGGCGGUAGGCCUAACACAUGCAAGUCGAGCGGCAGCACAGUAAGAGCUUGCUCUUACGGGUGGCGAGUGGCGGACGGGUGAGGAAUACAUCGGAAUCUACUUUUUCGUGGGGGAUAACGUAGGGAAACUUACGCUAAUACCGCAUACGACCUACGGGUGAAAGCAGGGGAUCUUCGGACCUUGCGCGAUUGAAUGAGCCGAUGUCGGAUUAGCUAGUUGGCGGGGUAAAGGCCCACCAAGGCGACGAUCCGUAGCUGGUCUGAGAGGAUGAUCGCCCACCCGGAAACGGAAACCCGGUCCAGCCCCCACGGGGGGGCAGCGGGGGGAAAUUUUGGAAAAGGGGCGAAGCCCUGACCCCCCCAUCCCGCGUGGGUGAAGAAGGCCUUGGGUUUGUAAAGCCCUUUUGUGGGAAAAAAAAAGCAGCAGGUUAAUCCCCCGCUGUUCUGGCGGUCCCCAAAGAAUAGGCCCCGGCUACCUUCG
rnacentral:rRNA from 1 species